rnacentral:rRNA from 1 species
AUACGUAGGGUGCAAGCGUUAAUCGGAAUUACUGGGCGUAAAGCGUGCGCAGGCGGUUUUGCAAGACAGUGGUGAAAUCCCCGGGCUCAACCUGGGAACUGCCAUUGUGACUGCAAGGCUGGAGUGCGGCAGAGGGGGAUGGAAUUCCGCGUGUAGCAGUGAAAUGCGUAGAUAUGCGGAGGAACACCGAUGGCGAAGGCAAUCCCCUGGGCCGGCACUGACGCUCAUGCACGAAAGCGUGGGGAGCAAACAGGAUUAGAUACCCUGGUAGUCCACGCCCUAAACGAUGUCAACUGGUUGUUGGGUCUUCAUUGACUCAGUAACGAAGCUAACGCGUGAAGUUGACCGCCUGGGGAGUACGGCCGCAAGGUUGAAACUUAAAGGAAUUGACGGGG